CCGGUUCUUGUUCCCAAGUAGCGCGGGACUCGUGGAAUCCCGUGUGAAUCGGCCCCGACCGUGGGGUAAGCCUGAAUAUUCCUGUCUGACCGAUAGCGUACGAGUACCGUGAGGGAAAGGUGAAAAGCACCCCGGGAGGGGAGUGAAAGAGUUUCUGAAACCGUGUGCCUACAAUCCGUCGGAGCCUUUCGGGGUGACGGCGUGCCUAUCGAAAAAUGAGUCUGCGAGUCAGUGGUGCGUGGCGAGGCUAACCCGUGUGGGGCAGCCGUAGCGAAAGCGAGUCCGAUAAGGGCGUUCCAGUCGCGUGUCCUGGACCCGAAGCGGGAUGAUCUAGCCCUGGGCAGGUUGAAGCGCGGGUAAGACCGCGUGGAGGACCGAACGGACCUGGGUUGAAAACCGGGCCGAUGACCUGGGGCUAGGGGUGAAAGGCCAAUCAAAUUCCGUGAUAGCUGGUUCUCUCCGAAAUGCAUUUCGGUGCAGCGUCGCGUGAGUGCCUCCAUGGGGUAGAGCUACUGGAUGCUUGAGGGCCCGUAUCGGGUACCGACAGCAGCCAAACUCCGAAUACGUGUGAGGUGUAUCGCGGCAGUGAGUCGGCGGGGGAUAAGCUCCGUCGUCGAGAGGGAGACAGCCCAGAUCGUCGUCUAAGGUCCCUAAGCGCGUGCUAAGUGGGAAAGGAUGUGGAGUCGCAUAGACAGCCAGGAGGUUGGCUCAGAAGCAGCCAUCCUUGAAAGAGUGCGUAACAGCUCACUGGUCUAGUGGUUCCGCGCCGAUAAUGUAGCGGGGCUCAAGCACGCCACCGAAGACGCGGCAGCGCAGUUUGCUGUGCUGGGUAGGAGAGCGUUCCGCGUGGGGCGAAGCGGCGGCGUGAGCCGGCCGUGGACCGCGUGGAAGUGAGAAUGCAGACAUGAGUAGCGAGAGGCGGGUGAGAAUCCCGUCCGCUGGAUGACCAAGGGUUCCGGGGCCACGUUCGUCGUCCCCGGGUGAGUCGGGUCCUAAGGCGAGGCCGACAGGCGUAGUCGAAUGGAUGAAGGAGUCGAUAUUCUCCUACCGGCGUCAAGCCGUCCAAUCCAAGACGUGGAAGCGUGCCCUUACCCGUGUCGGGUGAUGGUCUUCGGACCGUCCGAUGGCAUGGGACCGGCGUGUGGAUGCGUGGCGGGUAGCGCGGGAGUGACACGGAACGGGAGCCGGGCCGCGGUGGUGGUUAUCCGUGGUCAAGCAUGCGGCGCGUCGGGCAGGCAAAUCCGCCCGGCAUGAGCGCGAGGUGUGAUGAUGGGGGGUCUUGUGCCCCGAAUCCGGUGUGCCGUUCCGUCGAGAAAAGCUUCGGCGUGAGGAGUGGCGCCGCCCGUACCCUAAACCGACACUGGUGGUCAGGUAGAGUAUACCAAAGCGAUCGAGCGAAUCCUGGUCAAGGAACUCGGCAAAUCACUCCCGUGCCUUCGGUAUAAGGGAGGCCCCUGCCGGUGAGGCGCCUUGCGCGCGGAGCCGGUGGGGGCGGCACAGACCAGGGGGUAGCGACUGUUUACCAAAAACACAGGUGCAUGCGAAGACGUAAGUCGCUGUAUAUGCACUGACGCCUGCCCGGUGCCGGAAGGUUAAGAGGAUCCGUCAUCCCUCUUCGGAGGGGGCAGCGGUGAAUUCAAGCCCCGGUAAACGGCGGUGGUAACUAUAACCAUCCUAAGGUAGCGAAAUUCCUUGUCGGGUAAGUUCCGACCUGCACGAAUGGCGUAACGACUUCCCCACUGUCUCGACCAGGAGCUCGGCGAAAUUGCAGUACGAGUAAAGAUGCUCGUUAAGCGCAGAAGGACGAAAAGACCCCGGGACCUUUACUAUACCUUGGUAUUGGCGUUAGGUGCGGACUGUGUAGCAUAGGCGGGAGGCUUCGAAGCGGGUGCGCCAGCAUCCGUGGAGCCGGAAUGUGAAAUACCGCUCUGUCCUCAUCUGGCCUCUAACCUCGGCCGGUCAUCCCGGCCAGGGACAGUGCCUGGCGGGUAGUUUAACUGGGGCGGUUGCCUCCCAAAGAGUAACGGAGGCGCCCAAGGGUUCCCUCAGCCCGGUUGGCAAUCGGGUGUUGAGUGCAAUCGCACAAGGGAGCUUGACUGCGAGACCGACGGGUCGAGCAGGGACGAAAGUCGGAGAUAGUGAUCCGGUGCCGGCGUACGGACGCGGCAUCGCUCAACGGAUAAAAGGUACCCCGGGGAUAACAGGCUGAUCAUCCCCAAGAGUCCAUAUCGACGGGAUGGUUUGGCACCUCGAUGUCGGCUCGUCGCAUCCUGGGGCUGGAGCAGGUCCCAAGGGUUCGGCCGUUCGCCGAUUAAAGCGGCACGCGAGCUGGGUUCAGAACGUCGUGAGACAGUUUGGUCUCUAUCCUCUGCGCUCGUUGGAAUCUUGAGGAGCCCUGCCCAUAGUACGAGAGG
rnacentral:rRNA from 1 species